CUAGUGUUUAUGUAUAUGGGGCAUUUUUUUUUUUUUUUUUUUGCCUCCCAGGAACUUUCAAUUUAGCUACAUAAAAAAGUAACUGUAACAUAUAAAACCUAAAACCUAUUAUAGGUUAGUCAAUGCAAAAUACCACAUGAGUAGAACAGACUAUGAAUUUAGGGGUUCAGUGGAUGGUGUCAUUCCUGUCUUCCCAGAGGACAACAGGUUGUAUAAAAAAAGAAAAAAGACACAGAGCUGCAAGGAACGUUUGUUGCAUUCUCCACUAUAGUACCUGGCGGGAAGCUGAGUCAUAGGAGGCUUUUGACAAAUGUGCGUGGAGAAUGAGCGGAUGAGAAAGCAAGUUUUCCAGAUUCUUAGUCAAGCUGAUAGGUCUUGGGAGUAGACUUUUGGGACAUCUGGAAGAAGACAAGACGAGGGAAAUGAAUUGGGAAGAGAGUAUUAAAUCAUUUGUCCAAGGUCACAUAAAAAAGAAGUGACAGAGGAACAAAUACUCAAGGUCAAGAUAGUGGCUUGAAACAAGUCUAGCAUAGGACUUCUGAUAUUAAGUCCAUUGGACAAUGUGUUCAUCAGAAUAUUGUU